GGGAGGUGAUGAUAGAAAUUCAUUAGUCUGUAAAUCCACUGACUAAACAAUUGUUUGAUGUUACCAAGUAUCCUGACAGGUUCUC